GCGAGAGCGCAGCGGGGUUGCCCGGCUCCGACUGGAGGUGGGGAACUCGGUCCACCUCAGGCCGCGGGAAUUUAGUCUCACACUUUCCGCCAGGGACCGCCCGUGCUCGACACACACGGAAACCAAGGCUCUUGGAGGUUAAAUUACUUGACCAAGGUUACUCUGGAUUUUCCUGAAAAUCAACGUUACCUCCUUCCUUGAGAGCCGGUUUUAGAAAGCUGUCUGCAGAAGCCUCUGAGGAGACUCUUUGUUCAUGAAAAGCUUGAGACCUUAGCCCUAGAGGACUAGGGAGUAGUCAUUUACUCUGACCCAUUGCUCGCAUGGUCCUGGACAGGUGAAUGAGGGAGCCAGGAAAAAGGAAGCAUUACUGACACUAAACAAGAAGCAGCUUCUCACCCUAUGCUAUCUACCUCACCCUGACAAAGAUGUUGUGAGCAGUAUAUGCAGUAAAGUCUCCAUCAACCAGAGCUCUGCAUGUCUACAGUGUGUUCCAGAUCUGCCCUCCUGAGCAACUGUACUUUCUUUAAAGUCCGUAUUACUCUUCUGAUUCCUCUCCUUUUCUCGCCUUUCCUCCUACUCUCCCAGCCCUUCCAAUAUCCUUUUCGUCUCUUCUCUUUUCUCUCAAUCACUGUCCCUCCCACUAACAUGGCUUAUUCUUGUGACUUGUUUUUAUAACAAUUCUCUAGGCCUGAUUUUAUUCAUUACUUUAGUAUAGAUUUUACUAAUAUGAUGGGAAAAGCUAAGAAACAAAGUCUAAAUUACUUUUUAUAACAUUUGCAAUCUGCACAUAGAGAAUAUAUCUCCUCUUCCAAGUUCCAUGGACAUUUACCAGAAUGGGUCAAGAAAAUCUCAAG